AUUGAACGCUGGCGGCAUGCCUUACACAUGCAAGUCGAACGGCAGCACGGGAGCAAUCCUGGUGGCGAGUGGCGAACGGGUGAGUAAUAUAUCGGAACGUGCCCAGUCGUGGGGGAUAACGUAGCGAAAGCUACGCUAAUACCGCAUACGAUCCAUGGAUGAAAGCGGGGGAUCGCAAGACCUCGCGCGAUUGGAGCGGCCGAUAUCAGAUUAGCUAGUUGGUGGGGUAAAAGCCCACCAAGGCGACGGUCUGUAGCUGGUCUGAGAGGACGACCAGCCACACUGGAACUGAGACACGGUCCAGACUCCGACGGGAGGCAGCAGUGGGGAAUUUUGGACAAUGGGCGAAAGCCUGAUCCAGCAAUGCCGCGUGCAGGACGAAGGCCUUCGGGUUGUAAACUGCUUUUGUACGGAGCGAAACGGUCCUCUCUAAUACAGGGGGCUAAUGACGGUACCGUAAGAAUAAGCACCGGCUAACUACGUGCCAGCCGCCGCCGUAA
rnacentral:rRNA from 1 species